rnacentral:rRNA from 1 species
UACAGAGGGUGCAAGCGUUAAUCGGAAUUACUGGGCGUAAAGCGUGCGUAGACGGUCAUGUAAGUCGGGUGUGAAAGCCCCGGGCUCAACCUGGGAAUGGCAUUUGGGACUGCAAGGCUAGAGUGCGGCAGAGGAGACUGGAAUUCCUGGUGUAGCAGUGAAAUGCGUAGAUAUCAGGAGGAAUACCGAUGGCGAAGGCAGGUCUCUGGGCUGACACUGACGCUCAUGCACGAAAGCGUGGGGAGCAAACAGG